rnacentral:lncRNA from 1 species
AAAUUCUCGGGUGAUGGGGAGGCAGCUGAUCUUGAAAUAACAGGUACCCAAGUGACUCGAGAAGGGAGCGCAAUAAAUGUUCACUGCCAACAUCAUCACGCCAGGCGCCCGGGUACAGCGCGCAGGGAGGAGCGAUGGCCUCGAUCGGGACCUUCCGGACCUCGUGCCUCUUCGCCGGGGAACAGGUUAGAAAGGGAGGCGGCAGGAGCAGCAGUGUCGCUGCCUAAAGAAAGGGAACCCUUCUCUCCAACAUCCGCCCCUGGGGAGAGGCAGAGGCCAUUGCCGCCGGAGCUCUGCCGCGCUGAGUCCGCGUCCGUUAGCCGGUGGCCGGNNNNNNNNNNNNNNNNNNNNNNNNNNNNNNNNNNNNNNNNNNNNNNNNNNNNNNNNNNNNNNNNNNNNNNCCCUUUAGCCUGGCCGGGCGACAGCCCGUCCUUUGGGCGCGGCGACUCGGGCCCCCGGGGUUGGGCGGGGCAGAGGCGGAGGCCAGUGGAGGCCUCAGCCCAGGCGAGGGUGUGGCGGGGGAGGAAGCAUCCGCUGCUGGCUCCGGGAUCAGUUCCGACCGCCCGCGGUCCGCUGGCCGGACGAAGAUGGCUGCCCAGUGCGCCGAGGACAGUCACGUGUCCCCCCGGUACCGCCUCACGCCCCCUCCCUCGCCCGCGAGUCUCCGACCCCUUGGAGUCAGCUCAGCCUCAGGCCACAGAGGGUGAAGGCAGCAUGAGUGAUCCCUGAAUGUGCCCUUGGGCAUACUUAGCAAUUCAUUUUUGAUUAGGAGAAAGAAGACAGCCAUUCAUUUGAAAGUGAGUAUAAAAAUUUGCAUGCAGCUUUGUAUUUUAAAAAAUUUUAAACAUAGAAAAGUUACAAAAAGCUGCUGGGCAUGGUGGUGCAUGCCUGUAACCAGCACUUGGGAAGCUGAGUUAGGAGGAUCACCUCUAGUUCCAGACUAACCUGGGAUAUAAAGUAAGUUCAAGGCCAGCCUGAAAUACAUAGGGAAACCUUGUCUCAAAAAAACCAAGCAAACAAUGAAACAAAACAAAACAACACAAAGGAACAAAAAAAGAAAAGAAGGAACAGUAAAUUCCUGUGUGUUUAUAAAAUGGAGUACUACUCAGCCAUAAAGAAUGAAAAACUAGAGUCAUUUAUAUCUAAAUGGAUGCAUAUCGAGGCCUACUCUUAACUGAAAUAAAUAGGACACACAUGGGUAAAUACCAAAUGGUUUCUCUAGUGUGAGAAACUGAUAGUAUAAAUAAGGGUUAAAAUGAUUAAAAUGAAUAAUUGAUAAUUUGAAAUAGGAAAAAAGGUCCAAAGAUGUAGGGCUGAAGGGAGGGAAAGGGGAAAGGAAAAAUUAUGAGAAAAGAAAAAAAAUGCAAAUGAUGGCUAUGUAAAUAGGGAAGGGUGAAGAGGUGAAGGGGAAAAAAAUAAGAAUCAAGAUACAUCAUUUACAGGUACAAACACCCAAUGAUAGAUGUAAACGAAUUGUAUACCUAAAAUAUACCAAUAAAAGAACUUAAGGAAAAAUAAAUAAAUUCCUGUGUAUCCACUACCUAGCUUUAAUAGUUGUUAGCAUUUUGCCACAUUUUGUUUGUGUGUAGGUUUGUACUUUUUGCUGAAGUACGUGAAAGUUGCAGACAUCAUGGCAUUUUUCUCCUAAAUUUGGGGGAGAUACAGUUCCUAACAAUAAUAUUCUCUCUUGAAAGACAUUUCAGGACAUUCAUAAGCUAUGACACACAAUUAUUAUAAACAGUUUCCUGUUAAAGGGUACAACUUUGAGCUAUGCUCCCUUCAUAGGUAACAAAAAUAGAGCCAGAUUUUUUAUUUGUUUAAUUGCUUUUUUGGUACCGGGGAUCGAACUUAAGUCUUUGUGCUUGUGAGGCAGACGGUGGAACCACUGAGCUAAAUCCCUGGCCCAUCAGAUUUUUAAAACUGUAAACAAAAAUUGAAGUAAUGGCAGAUAGGCAUUAUGAAUUGGAUAUGAAAACCAUCUGAAUGUAAAGGUAUGAAAUUUGCCCUGAGAGAAGGAUUAUUGUGCUUUCUUGUUUCUUGUAAUUUGCCUGUCUGUUCCCUGUUGCUGACAUUUUACUUUGAGUCAGUGGGUCUGAUUACUGCCUUUAUCCUAGUCCUGGUUGACAUUGAUUAAGUAGGCCAGUCUCUGUGAUCUAACAUGAUCAAAUGUCUCAACUAUUUUUUUUUUUAAUUUAAACUUGCAGAACAAUGUGGAAAGAUUGGCAAUGCGAAGUUGAGGU